GAUGAAGAACGUAGCGAAAUGCGAUAAGUAAUGCGAAUUGCAGAAUUUCCGUGAGUCAUCGAAUCUUUGAACGCACAUUGCGCCCCCUGGUAUUCCGGGGGGCAUGCCUGUCCGAGCGUCAUUACAACCCUCAAGCUCAGCUUGGUGUUGGGCCCCGCCGCCCCGGCGGGCCCUAAAGUCAGUGGCGGUGCCGUCCGGCUCCGAGCGUAGUAAUUCUUCUCGCUCUGGAGGUCCGGUCGUGUGCUCGCCAGCAACCCCCAAUUUUUUUCAGGUUGACCUCGGAUCAGGUAGGGAUACCCGCUGAACUUAAGCAUAUCAAUAAUCGGAGGA
rnacentral:misc_RNA from 1 species